GCGCCUCGUGAAUUCAUCUCCGGGGGUAGAGCACUGUUUCGGCUAGGGGGCCAUCCCGGCUUACCAACCCGAUGCAAACUGCGAAUACCGGAGAAUGUUAUCACGGGAGACACACGGCGGGUGCUAACGUCCGUCGUGAAGAGGGAAACAACCCAGACCGCCAGCUAAGGUCCCAAAGUCAUGGUUAAGUGGGAAACGAUGUGGGAAGGCCCAGACAGCCAGGAUGUUGGCUUAGAAGCAGCCAUCAUUUAAAGAAAGCGUAAUAGCUCACUGGUCGAGUCGGCCUGCGCGGAAGAUGUAACGGGGCUAAACCAUGCACCGAAGCUGCGGCAGCGACACUGUGUGUUGUUGGGUAGGGGAGCGUUCUGUAAGCCUGUGAAGGUGUGUCGUGAGGCAUGCUGGAGGUAUCAGAAGUGCGAAUGCUGACAUAAGUAACGAUAAAGCGGGUGAAAAGCCCGCUCGCCGGAAGACCAAGGGUUCCUGUCCAACGUUAAUCGGGGCAGGGUGAGUCGACCCCUAAGGCGAGGCCGAAAGGCGUAGUCGAUGGGAAACGGGUUAAUAUUCCCGUACUUGGUGUUACUGCGAAGGGGGGACGGAGAAGGCUAUGUUGGCCGGGCGACGGUUGUCCCGGUUUAAGCGUGUAGGUGUGUGUUCCAGGUAAAUCCGGUUCACUUUAACACUGAGGCGUGACGACGAGGCACUACGGUGCUGAAGCAACAAAUGCCCUGCUUCCAGGAAAAGCCUCUAAGCAUCAGGUAACAUCAAAUCGUACCCCAAACCGACACAGGUGGUCAGGUAGAGAAUACCAAGGCGCUUGAGAGAACUCGGGUGAAGGAACUAGGCAAAAUGGUGCCGUAACUUCGGGAGAAGGCACGCUGACACGUAGGUGAAGUGAUUUACUCAUGGAGCUGAAGUCAGUCGAAGAUACCAGCUGGCUGCAACUGUUUAUUAAAAACACAGCACUGUGCAAACACGAAAGUGGACGUAUACGGUGUGACGCCUGCCCGGUGCCGGAAGGUUAAUUGAUGGGGUCAGCGCAAGCGAAGCUCCUGAUCGAAGCCCCGGUAAACGGCGGCCGUAACUAUAACGGUCCUAAGGUAGCGAAAUUCCUUGUCGGGUAAGUUCCGACCUGCACGAAUGGCGUAAUGAUGGCCAGGCUGUCUCCACCCGAGACUCAGUGAAAUUGAACUCGCUGUGAAGAUGCAGUGUACCCGCGGCAAGACGGAAAGACCCCGUGAACCUUUACUAUAGCUUGACACUGAACAUUGAGCCUUGAUGUGUAGGAUAGGUGGGAGGCUUUGAAGUGUGGACGCCAGUCUGCAUGGAGCCGACCUUGAAAUACCACCCUUUAAUGUUUGAUGUUCUAACGUGGACCCGUUACCCGGGUUGCGGACAGUGUCUGGUGGGUAGUUUGACUGGGGCGGUCUCCUCCUAAAGAGUAACGGAGGAGCACGAAGGUUGGCUAAUCCUGGUCGGACAUCAGGAGGUUAGUGCAAUGGCAUAAGCCAGCUUGACUGCGAGCGUGACGGCGCGAGCAGGUGCGAAAGCAGGUCAUAGUGAUCCGGUGGUUCUGAAUGGAAGGGCCAUCGCUCAACGGAUAAAAGGUACUCCGGGGAUAACAGGCUGAUACCGCCCAAGAGUUCAUAUCGACGGCGGUGUUUGGCACCUCGAUGUCGGCUCAUCACAUCCUGGGGCUGAAGUAGGUCCCAAGGGUAUGGCUGUUCGCCAUUUAAAGUGGUACGCGAGCUGGGUUUAGAACGUCGUGAGACAGUUCGGUCCCUAUCUGCCGUGGGCGCUGGAGAACUGAGGGGGGCUGCUCCUAGUACGAGAGGACCGGAGUGGACGCAUCACUGGUGUUCGGGUUGUCAUGCCAAUGGCACUGCCCGGUAGCUAAAUGCGGAAGAGAUAAGUGCUGAAAGCAUCUAAGCACGAAACUUGCCCCGA
rnacentral:rRNA from 1 species